rnacentral:rRNA from 1 species
GACGAACGCUGGCGGCGUGCCUAAUACAUGCAAGUCGAACGCUUCUUUCCUCCCGAGUGCUUGCACUCCAUUGGAACGAGGGGCGGCGGGCGGGUGAGUAACACGUUGGUAACCUACCCACCAGGGGGGAAUCCCACUUGGCAACAGGUGAUAAUACCGCAUAACAGUUUAUGCUGCAUGGCAUAAGAGUGAAAGGCGCUUUCGGGUGUCGCUGAUGGAUGGACCCGCGGUGCAUUAGCUAGUUGGUGGGGUACCGGCUCACCAAGGCCAAGAUGGAUAGCCGAACUGAGAGGGUGAGGGUGCACAGUGGGACUGAGACACGGCCCAGACUCCGACGGGAGGCAGCAGUAGGGAAUCGGCGGCAAGGGACGAAAGUCUGAGCGAGCAACAGCGCGGGAGUGAAGAAGGUGUUCGGAUCGGAAAACUCUGUUGUUAGAGAAGAACAAGGAGGUUAGUAGCUGAACGGCUGCUGACGGUAGCGAACCAGAAAGCCACGGCUAACUACGUG